AGUUUUCGGACAACGGAUGUAGAGGAAAGUGGCGGACGGGUGAGUAACGCGUGGGUGACCUGCCCCAUACCGGGGGAUAACAGCUGGAAACGGCUGCUAAUACCGCAUAAGCGCACAGUGCUGCAUGGCACAGUGUGAAAAACUCCGGUGGUAUGAGAUGGACCCGCGUCUGAUUAGCUGGUUGGUGGGGUAACGGCCUACCAAGGCGACGAUCAGUAGCCGGCCUGAGAGGGUGAACGGCCACAUUGGGACUGAGAUACGGCCCAGACUCC
rnacentral:rRNA from 1 species